GUACUGCCGCAGUAUUCUGACUGUGCUAAGGUAGCAUAAUAACUUGUCUUUUCAUUGGAGUCUAGAAUAAAUGGUCAAACGAAAAAAUAUAUAUUUUAGGCUAAUUAAAAUAAUUUUUUUUAAAAGUAAAAAAACUUUUACCAACUAAGGGGACGACAAGACCCUAAAAUCUGUCUUCAUAUAAAUGACGUAGAAAUAAAAUUAACAAAGACUUGCUGGGGCGGCAAACCUUAAAAACAAUUUAUAUACAGACACUUUUAGUGACUCUCCUUAACCUUUAUGUAAAUAAAUAGAUACUUUAGGGAUAACAGCAUAAUUUUUCUUCAGAGCUCUUAUCGCUAGAAAAGAUUAUGACCUCGAUGUUGAAUUGAGAGAACUAAAAUAGGCAGCCCUAUCUAAG
rnacentral:rRNA from 1 species